AGAGCGAACGCUGGCGGCAGGCCUAAUACAUGCAAGUCGAACGGAUCCUUCGGGAUUAGUGGCGGACGGGUGAGUAACACGUGGGAACGUGCCCUUUGGUUCGGAACAACUCAGGGAAACUUGAGCUAAUACCGGAUGUGCCCUUCGGGGGAAAGAUUUAUCGCCAUUGGAGCGGCCCGCGUCUGAUUAGCUAGUUGGUGGGGUAAAGGCCUACCAAGGCUACGAUCAGUAGCUGGUCUGAGAGGAUGAUCAGCCACACUGGGACUGAGACACGGCCCAGACUCCUACGGGAGGCAGCAGUAGGGAAUCUUGCGCAAUGGGCGAAAGCCUGACGCAGCCAUGCCGCGUGAAUGAUGAAGGUCUUAGGAUUAGUAAAAUUCUUUACAGUGGGACGAUAAUGACGUACCACAGAAGAAGCCCGCUAACUUCGCGCCAGCAGCCGC
rnacentral:rRNA from 1 species